GACAGAGGUGCCAAGCGUUAGGCGGAAUCACUGGGCUUAAAGCGUGUGUAGGCGGGUGCCUAAGUACCUUGUGAAAUCCCACGGCUCAACCGUGGAACUGCUGGGUAUACUGGGUGCCUUGGGUCAUCUAGGGGCUGCCGGAACAAAUGGUGGAGCGGUGAAAUGCGUAGAUAUCAUUUGGAACGCCAACGGCGAAAGCAGGCAGCUGGGGAUGCACCGACGCUGAGACACGAAAGCCAGGGAGCGAACGGG
rnacentral:rRNA from 1 species